GGCCGAGUGACGGAAUUGGUAGACGUGGACUCCUUCAACCGGAGUCUGGGAUCGCUGCGAAGCCCCGUGCAGGUUCGACUCCUGCCUCAAUCGCC
rnacentral:tRNA from 1 species